AAGAAGAAAUAUCCUAAUAUGGAGUAGAUGCAGUGGAGAUGAGUCUACUUUUAGAGAGUGUAUCAUCCAUGGAGAAGGACCUGAUUUCUGUAAUGGUGAAUAUUAUCAUCAUGUGAUCUGUUCAGAGUCUGUGCAGCUUGUGGAUGGAGCUGGCCUCUGCUCUGGGAGACUGGAGGUGAAGUCCAAUCAGUCCUGGGCCUCAGUGUGUGAAGCUGACUUUGACCAGCAGGAUGCAGAGGUAGUCUGUGGGGAGCUUGGCUGUGGGGCUCCUGCAGCUCUACAGGGGGGGGCUCUAUGGAGAAGGUGAGGGUCAGACCUGGGAUAAAGAGUUCCAGUGUAAAGGCAAUGAGUCCCUUCUCCUGGACUGUGACACCUCAGACAGAAAAAACAACACCUGCCUACCUGGUAAUGCUGUUGGACUCACCUGCUCAGAGCCUGAUGAUGUGAGGCUGGUGGGAGGAGGCAGUCGCUGUGCUGGUGGAGUGGAGCUGUAC